CGGGCGGUCUACGUGAUAAGCUGGGUAGGCCCAUCUCCUUCCUAGGUAAAGCCCAGGUGUGCAAUAAUUUCAACGCAGGUUCCUGCAGUUUCAGCGCCUGUAGAUUGUUGCACAUCUGUUCUAUAUGCUUCAGGGCAUAUACCAAGACCAUGUGCCCAGCCAGGUUAUCCCCUAACAAAUGACUAACCGACAUCAAUGUCG